CUUCCUGUGACAGGACAGAGACAGGUUCUGAGUUCCUGUGAUAGGAUGGGGACAGGUAAAGCUUCCUGUGACAGGAUGGGGACAGGUUAAAGCUUCCUGUGACAGGAUGGGGACAGGUUAAAGCUUCCUGUGACAGGAUGGGGGCAGGUUAAAACUUCCUGUGACAGGACGGGGACAGGUUAAAGCUUCCUGUGACAGGAUGGGGGCAGGUUAAAGCUUCCUGUGACAGGAUGGGGGCAGGUUAAAACUUCUCUGUGACAGGAUGGGGACAGGUUCAAACUUCCUGUGACAGGAUGGGGACAGGUUCUCACUUCUUGUGACAGGAUGGGGACAGAUAAAGUUUCCUGUGACAGGAUGGGGACAGGUUAAAGCUUCCUGUGACAGGAUGGGGACAGGUAAAGCUUCCUGUGACAGGAUGGGGGCAGGUAAAGCUUCCUGUGACAGGAUGGGGCAGAUUAAAGCUUCCUGUGACAGGAUGGGGACAGGUUCUCAUUUCUUGUGACAGGAUGGGGACAGGUUAAAGCUUCCUGUGACAGGAUGGGGACAGGUAAAGCUUCCUGUGACAGGAUGGGGACAGGUAAAGUUUCCUGUGACAGGAUGGGGACAGGUAAAACUUCCUGUGACAGGAUGGGGGCAGGUUAAAGCUUCCUGUGACAGGAUGGGGACAGGUUAAAGCUUCCUGUGACAGGAUGGGGACAGGUAAAGCUUCCUGUGACAGGAUGGGGACAGGUUAAAGCUUCCUGUGACAGGAUGGGGACAGGUUAAAACUUCCUGUGACAGGAUGGGGACAGGUAAAGCUUCCUGUGACAGGAUGGGGACAGGUUAAAGCUUCCUGUGACAGGAUGGGGACAGGUUAAAGCUUCCUGUGACAGGAUGAGGACAGGUAAAGCUUCUUGUAACAGGAUGGGACAGGUUAAAGCUUCCUGUGACAGGAUGGGGACAGGUAAGGCUUCCUGUGACAGGAUGGGGACAGGUUAAAGCUUCCUGUGACAGGAUGGGGACAGGUUAAAGCUUCCUGUGACAGGAUGGGGACAGGUAAGGCUUCCUGUGACAGGAUGGGGACAGGUAAAGCUUCUUGUGACAGGAUGGGGCAGGUUAAAGCUUCCUGUGACAGGAUGGGGACAGGGGUUUCUUCUGCCACCUGCUCAGGCCCAUGGUACCGGAGAGACAGCUGCCUCAGGGACCGGAGUGGAGGUGGAGCCCCGAGGCCUUGGCCGACCGCCCGGCAAGUCGCGCCGUGUGGACUGUUUAACUUCUCCGGUGGAGCAUCUACUGCCCUCGUCUGCCAUCAUGGCCCCACCUGCCUGUACGUUCCACCCUUGUGCCAGGUGACGUGGGCUGAUUGUGCACUCGCAUGGAGCGGGAGCGGGUCUCCUUUCCCACUCAGCCCGGCCUCCCCAUCAGGAUCGAUAGCAGCCCUCUCGCCUGGCCAGCUGGGGCGAGGGAAGGCCCGCCCUGCGGCAGGCCAGGUGCUGCGGGCACGUGAGGAUCGGCGCCCUGAGGAGCCAGCUGCAGGAGGGGACGGAGCAGAGGAGAAGCAGCAGAGGAGGUGGCCUCAGGGGCAGCCCAGCCAGGCCGAGGGGAGUGCUCCAGGCGGCGGGGGCAGCUGAGGGCAGGGUGGUUCAUGCAGCGCAUCCCAGCAGCUCCCUCCUGCCGCAUCCUCUCCUCCCUCUGCUGGCGGAGACAGCUCAGCACGGCGUGACUCCACCGCAGUCAGUGGCUUAGGGGCCAGCCUGUCCCAGUUCGAAGACUUUACAUUCCCCCCCCCUCUUUCUCUCACCCCCCCCACACGUGCACACAUACGUGCACGCAGACACGCAUGCACACAAGGGCAGGCGCAGCUGCUUUAGAAAGGGCCCAGUGAGCCUGGCCAGCAGGUGGCGCUAGUCUCCUUCAUGUGACCAGGCUUUCCCACCUGUGUCUCCCAGGACAGGGCUUUGAUUCGGAGACUCUGACCCAGGCCAGGGCCGGCCCCUCCUGUGUGCUGAGAAAUGCGCACCGUCAGCACGGCCCGGUUCCCUGAUCGGAUCCAACACCACCGUCCUGUGGAGUGGCACCUGGGCGUGCCGAACCGCCCGGGACACCGGCGGCGGCUUCUGGCAAACCUCCCGCAGGCGGGGAGGACACGUGGGUCCAGACUGGGGGGUCUGUCCACACCGAUCACAGAGCAGAGGAGAGCCGGCGCCUGGUCCCGCGCCGUGGUUUCCACCUCACCGCGCACACGAGGAAAAUGUGCCCGUUUUUCAGUCACAACACUGCACAUGCUGUGAAAAAGUCAUCUGGAAAGCCACCACAGGCCAGAGAAAAACGGUCCUCAACCCAGUCCUUCUCCGGGACACAGGGCCAUUCUGGCCACCUCAGGCUGACGCUUCCGCUGCCCCUGCCUUUCCCACGCCCAGAGACAAGUCUCAGGAGCCGGGUCCGCUGCGGAGAGAGGGUUUCCAGUUCCACCCCAGGCUCCGGGGCCCGGGGACACCCCUCCGCGGCAGGGGGGACCGUGUGGUCAGGAUCUGAACAGCCUGAUCGGUCCGCAAGACCCGGCCCUGUGGUCUGUGGCCAGCCUGCUGGGCCACGCUCCAGCCACUGCCCUGGCCACAGGGACACUGCGCAGGAGGCCCAGCGGGAGCCAGGGAAGCUCCGACCUUGCCCGCCAGGCCUGAACAAGCCCCUCUCGCUGAACGCUGCCCCUUCGGCCUUUACAGCGGGUGGGCCCACUCCUGCCCUCAUUUAUGAAGAAUGAUGAUCCCCCCCACUUUCCAGCCCAGCGAGCAAGCGAAGAAUCCAUGAGGUGGGGACAGAACCGAGUUCUCAAGGUCAUGGCGCCAGUUCUUUAAGAGGAUUGGUGUGGAGGAAGAAUUUGGGCUGUGAAACAGGAAACGUCGCUUGCCAGUUACUUGUCAUUAUGAGCCCACUAAGGAUCGGGGCUCCUGUGGCCCCCGAGGAAGUCCCCUACCGACCGGGCAGCCCUGGGCUUGGACCCCAGGCAGGUCAGUGACUCCUCAAGAGGGGCCCAAACGGGAGGGAACUGUCACCAGACAGAUUCCGGGAGCAGCAGUGGCGCCCGGUGACCAGGUGGCCCUGCAGGAGCCACGCCCCGCCCUCCCGUCUGAGGGCCGAGGGACCCAGCGACCUCCCGGCCUGACCCCGGAGCGAGGCUGCGGGAGGCCGCAGAGCCUCUGCUCGACGCUGGGUCCGAAGGAGACCGCGGCGGGUGACAGGAUGGGGACAGGUUCAGACCUCGCUCUAAGACCAGCACUGCCCAGGCAGGCCCCCGGGCUCGUCCCUGCCGGUGCCCACUAGUCCCCAAGGCCUCGCCCAGCAGAAAUGACAGAUGCAGCCGAGAGCCUGCCCCGAGGAACAGGAGAGCCACAGACUGGCAGUGAAAUAGGUCUUGGGGUGCCCACCCACACCCCGCAAGAGGUGAACUGGGGCGAGCUGUAUGGAGUGGGCUCUGCCCCACAGUCACAGGUCAUCCUACAGGAGCCCAGGAGGGGGCAUCCCCACUCCCUGUACC